AACUGACAGUUUCAAAAUUUCAUUGUAGGAAGUAACUGUGGAUGUGGUAGAAACAGCAAGAGAACUUGAAUUAGAAGUGAACCCUGAAAAUGUGACUAGAUUGCUGCUAUCUCAUGAUCAAAUUUAAAUGGAUGAGGAGUUGCUUCAUAGGGAUGAACAAAGAAAGUGGUUUCUUGAGAUGAGAUCUACUCCUGGUGAAGAUGCUGCGAACAACGUUGAAAUGACAACAAAGGACUUAAACUAUGACAGAAACUUAGUUGAUAAAGCAGUGGUAGGGUUUGAAAGGACUGACUCCAAUUUUGAAAGAAGUUGUACUGUGGGUAAACAGCAUUGCAUGAUACAGAGAAAUUGUUCAUGGAAAGAAGAGUACAUGGAUGCAGCAAACUUCAUUGUUGUCUUAUUUUAAGAAAUUGCCACAGCCACUCCAUCCUUCAGCAACCACCACCCUGGUCUAUUAGAAACCAUCAAUAUCAAGGCAAGAUUCUCCACCAACAAAAAGCUUAUGACUCACUGAUGGCUCAGAUGAUCAUUAGCAUUUUUCAGCAAUAAAGUAUUUCUACAUUAAGACAGGACCCAGUGUGUGAUGUUCCCCUCCCUAAGUCUACAUGUUCUCAUUGUUCGACUCCUACUUAUGAGUGAGAACAUCCGGUGCUUGGUUUUCUGCUCCUGUGUUAGUUUGCUGAGGAUGAUCGUUUCCAGCUUCAUCCAUGUCCCUGCAAAGGAAAUGAACUCAUCCUUUUUUAUGGCUUCAUAGUAUUUCAUGGCAUAUAUAUGCCACAUUUUCUUUAUCCAGUCUAUCAUUGAUGGACAUUUGGGUUGGUUCCAAGUCUUUGCUAUUGUAAAUAGUGCUUCAAUAUACAUACAUGUGAAUGUGUCUUUAUAAUAUAAUGAUUUGUAAUCCUUUGGGUAUAUACCUAGUAAUGGGAUUGCUGGGUCAAAUGGUAUUUCUGGUUUUAGAAAACAGCAUGGUACUCCAAAACAGAUAUAUAGACCAAUGGAACAGAACAGAGACCUCAGAAAUAGCACCAC
rnacentral:lncRNA from 1 species